GCCUUCGUGGUUUAAUUGUCAGCACGCUCGACGCGUAAGUCAGAGGUCCGUGGUUCGAUUCCCGGCGGAGGCG
rnacentral:tRNA from 1 species